AUGGAGAACAAGCUUGUUAAGAAGGAUUACACGGAGGAGUCCAGAGAUGUAUGUGGAUGGAAGUCAGGAGUGUUUCAUGAACCCAAAGACCAGCUGGAAAAUCAAAAAAGCUCAAUGUGCUACUGCGUCACCCUUGUCAGCUCUGGAGAAGUGCUCAUAGUGGAAAGGCUGGUAACGUGUCUGGGUGAACUCCAGUUGCUCUGAAGAACCUUCUCAGGGGUCUCUGCCCUUUCUGAACAGAUCACUGUCUGUUCAGUCACUUACUGCCAUGUUUCUGCAAUUGGUAUCUGUGGUAGCCCACACUCUGUAUGCAAGGUCUUCAAAAGGUGCUAAAUUUAAAGUUAGCCAUCACUGAUGGACUUUUCUGAACUGCCUACUAUGAGGCUGAUCCAUUUCAUAUCUUAUGAGAAAAAAGCAUAGGAAAAGGAUGGAGAUUUUUUAUCUAUGACUUGUACAAUCUAACCAUGCAUUUUUUGUUUUGUUGUUGCUUAUCAGUGACCUUGCCUGAGAAGAAGCAGAUGAUGGUUAGAAGAAAGAAAAGAAAGAAAAGGGUAUAUAUUUUCUGUAGGUCUGUUUGGCCUUUGUGACACAACAUACUGGAAAAAAAGGCACACUUGAAUAGUUUACCUUGAAGACUGAGUAUCCUGAUUUAGCAAAUGCAUGCACUGCAGAGCAGUAUGGGAUAAAACACCCAGUCAUUUCACUGCAGCAGUCACUGUGUUUUGUAGACAGCUCUGCAGAGCAGGUCUCAUCCCAUAUACCUUCUUCCUUUAUCUCCUACCUGCCCAAGAGCCAGCACAGAUUGCCAUGGUGUUAAUUCCAGCCAACUCCUGCAGAAAAUAAGGGCAUAUGACAAGAUUGCACAUAUGUUAAUGACUCAUGCACCCUGCACAUUUUAUUUGUCAUUUUAUAUGUUGUUUGAUGUAGUUAAUAAAUUUUUAUUUUGCAAAAACUGUGAUGGAUGUGUUCUGUUUGAAAAAACUGAUAUGGAACAUCCUUUUCCUAUGCCCAUGCUUCUUGCCAAAUUCAGUAAAAUGUGGUUAACUUGAAAUUCAGGUUUUUUUAGCAGUCAUAAGUGUAACUUACUCAAAGAGCAGAACACUCAAGUUCAAAACAGUACUGCCAAUAACACAUAUCUGAGAUGCUUCUGAGGCUUCUGGGAAUUGUAUUCAGAUUGACUCCUAUAAUUGGUCUUCUGCAUUCAGAAUCAUAAGUAUUUCUACUCUCAGUAAAAGCAUCUUCAUUUUUGGUUUCAGAGGUGUUUUUAGUUUACCAAACAUACAUCAGAAGCCACUGAGCAAUACAUAUAUCUUUGUUUCCAGAUGCCAG
rnacentral:lncRNA from 1 species